UCGAUGGCCGGCAGCGGCUGGAUUUCGGCGAACGUCGUCAUGGUCGUGGGCAGCUGGAUCUCUUUGGGGAUCAGUACACCAUAUUUGUUUUUGAAGUGAGCUGUCCUUAUCUCAUUGAAGAGAAGCUGUCAGAUGUUACCUGGUGAUGAUAUGCAUCUUUAAGUCGGUCCUUGAAAGGAGGAGGCAGAUGGGCAGGUGGAAGGGUGCUGAGGACAAGGAAAAUGAGAGAUUGGGGAGCAUGGAAACAAGGAGUCCAUUGGCAAUUACUGCAAAGCCCAGAUUACAAGUUCAUAAGGAAAGAAAAGAAGACACAGCUAUUUUGUGCCUGUUGGCUGAUACUGCUAAGAAGACUCUGUGGAGGGAUCCAGCUUGAUUUAAAGCCUGAAUAAAACAUGGGAUUGGCAUUGAUGACUAAGAAGAGGAGAGUCCUGGAAUGAUAAGAGCUCCCCUUUGAAUAGAACUUUACACCUCACAAAGUGUUUUCAUCUGUUUUAUUAUAUUUGACCUUCACAACAGCUGUCUAACGUAGCACUUAUUGCAUGGUAUUUUUAAUCACCUAUAUACAAGUCUGUUUCUACGCUAAAUCUGGAACACUCCAAGGGCAGUGACUAUGUGCAUUUCCUAUGCUUGGGAUGGUGCUUGGUGCAGGGUAGUGGGCUGGGAGUAUUAGGGAAAUGAAGCAAAUUCUAUCACCUUAAAUCCUUGAUAUAAACAGAUAUUAUUAACCUGUACUAUAGAUGCCAAACCUGAGGCUUAUGAAACGUGUGUCCAAGUCAAAUAAAAGGCAAAAACAGUGCCCCAAAUUGGACCUUAGAUCCAGAGUCAUUGCCAACAUGUGAUAAGUGCACAUAAAAACUAAAGGGCUAACAGGACACAUCCUUAUGGAGCAUCCAGGGAAAUGAUAACACCCAAGUGUGUACCCAUAAAAUGACCUGAUAAUAAAUUCCAAAGUAACAUUGACCCGAACAUUGCAUGAUGAACACUGAGGGACUAGAGAAUAAGAGAAUGUUCCAGAAUUGUUAUAAUGGUUGCUGAAGAAAUUAUUUCUGCUUAGAAAAAAGAUUCCAUUUGAU